UACGAAGGGGGCUAGCGUUGCUCGGAAUCACUGGGCGUAAAGGGUGCGUAGGCGGGUCUCUAAGUCAGGGGUGAAAUCCUGGAGCUCAACUCCAGAACUGCCUUUGAUACUGAGGAUCUUGAGUUCGGGAGAGGUGAGUGGAACUGCCAGUGUAGAGGUGAAAUUCGUAGAUAUUCGCAAGAACACCAGUGGCGAAGGCGGCUCACUGGCCCGAUACUGACGCUGAGGCACGAAAGCGUGGGGAGCAAACAGG
rnacentral:rRNA from 1 species